rnacentral:sRNA from 1 species
AAAACCAAUGAAAGGCCCCGGGCAACCGCCCGGGGCCUUUCAUUGCCUUA